rnacentral:rRNA from 1 species
UACGGAGGGUGCAAGCGUUGUCCGGAAUCACUGGGCGUAAAGGGCGCGUAGGCGGCUCAUGAAGGCUGUGGUGAAAGUCCGGGGCUCAACCUCGGAUCGGCCGUGGCGACUCGUGGGCUGGAGCACUGUAGAGGCGGGUGGAAUUCCGGGUGUAGCGGUGGAAUGCGUAGAGAUCCGGAAGAACACCAGUGGCGAAGGCGGCCCGCUGGGCAGUGGCUGACGCUGAGACGCGAAAGCGUGGGAGCGAACAGG